UACGUAGGAGGCGAGCGUUGUCCGGAUUUAUUGGGCGUAAAGAGCGUGUAGGCGGCCAUGUAGGUCCGGUGUGAAAACUCGAGGCUUAACCUCGAGAUGUCAUCGGAAACCAUUUGGCUAGAGUCCGGAAGAGGAGAGUGGAAUUCCUGGUGUAGCGGUGAAAUGCGCAGAUAUCAGGAAGAACACCAAUGGCGAAAGCAGCUCUCUGGGACGGUACUGACGCUGAGACGCGAAAGCGUGGGGAGCGAACAGG
rnacentral:rRNA from 1 species